rnacentral:rRNA from 1 species
AACGAACGCUGGCGGCGUGGCUAAGGCAUGCAAGUCGAACGGACUCAGCCCUUCGGGGCGAAAGUUAGUGGCGAACGGGUGAGGAACGCAUGGAUAACGUACCCUGGACACGGGGAUAGUCCACCGAAAGGGGGAGUAAUACCCGAUGAUCCUGCGGAAUCGCAUGAUUCUGCAGGCAAAUGCUCCGGUGGUCUGGGAUCGGUCCAUGUCCUAUCAGCUUGUUGGUGGGGUAACGGCCUACCAAGGCAACAACGGGUAGCGUGCGUGAGAGCGCGUCCCGCCACAUCGGAACUGAGACACUGUCCGGACACCUACGGGUGGCUGCAGCAACGAAUAUUCCCCAAUGGACGAAAGUCUGAGGGAGCGACGCCGCGUCCAGGAGGAAGUCCUUUGGGAUGUAAACUGCUGUCAGGGGUUAGGAAGAACUGGCCAACCCCAAAGGAAGCACCGGCUAACUCCGUGCCAGCAGCCGCGGUAAUACGGAGGGUGCAAGCGUUGUUCGGAAUUACUGGGCUUAAAGCGCGUGCAGGCGGAAUAUCAGGUGCCUUGUGAAAGCCCCGGGCUCAACCCGGGAAAUGCUGGGCAAACCGGUAU